rnacentral:rRNA from 1 species
UACAGAGGUCCCAAGCGUUGUUCGGAUUCAUUGGGCGUAAAGGGUGCGUAGGUGGCGCCGUAAGUCAGGUGUGAAAUCUCGGGGCUUAACUCCGAAACUGCAUUUGAUACUGCGGUGCUUGAGGACUGGAGAGGAGACUGGAAUUUACGGUGUAGCGGUGAAAUGCGUAGAUAUCUGGAGGAAUACCGGUGGCGAAGGCGGCAUCCUGGACCAUUACUGACGCUGAGGCGCGAAAGCUAGGGGAGCAAACGGG